CAUCCGUUGAUGGGUAUUUGGGUUGCUUCCACUUGCAUUUACCCUUUUUAAACAAAUAUUUACUGAGCACCUACCACGUGGUAGGUACCCUGUCAGCUGCCACCUCAGUAUCUCCUACGUGUGCCAAAAUGUGUCCGAGUGGGAGGGGCAGUGUGUGUGUGAGUCCAGGUAGCUGACAAGAAAGAAAGUGACAUCCCUCAUUGAGGGAGAGCCACACAUAGACCCCUGUCACAGCACCUGUGUAACAUGGCGACCCAUGUUUCUCAAGGCCCUGGUCUGAGGUCUAUCUUCAUGUCGUCAUUUCCAUGAUCUCAUUUAAUCAUAUCAACAACCCCAUAAAGUAGGUGCUGGCAUUAUCUCCAGUGAGGAAACAGAGAGAUGGAGUGACUUCCCCGUGGACACACAGCAGGUUGUGGCAGAACCAGAUUCAAACCUGGGCAGUCUGCCUCUGGCCUGCGAUUCCUACGCAGUAGAUGUAUAGAGUCAGACUGUGGGGUCAGGCCCAAGCACUGAGGAGUGGCCUGAAAAAGCUUCCCAGGCAGUUCCCCUGCACGGCCUUGAUGAAUGACACCCCAGACCCUUGUCCCCAGCCCAGUUCCCCCAAAAGAGCUGCAGGGACCAGCUGGAAAACCUCAGGAGGGUGCUAUAUUUACGUUUUAGUGUCCCUUGCACCUGCAGGGGGCCAACAUGCUGCUCCCAGGGCAGUUGAAUGCCCCCACCUGUUCCAUGGAUGGGAGCAAUUCAUGGAUGCGCGGGUCAUUUCCCAGGUGGCGGAAUGCGUGGGGUGCCGUGUGAGGCCAGGGGGGCCCCAGUGUGCUGGAUGCCCUCUGUAGCCUUUGGCUGCCUUCGUGUGAUACGGUGAGGGGUGCCAGGUUUACGACACUCAGUUCACAGUAUUUAUGGAGCAUCUAAUAUGUGCUAGGGGCUGGGGAUGCAAAGGCGAUCCGGAAGACGAGGGCCUGACUUCACCGGGGCGGGGGACUUUUGGAAGACUGGUACCAGGGACUUGAGGGGAGGGAGCCUCCCGGCUGCCCGCAGUCACUGGGUCUGGGACGAAUAACCCCCACAUUCAGAAUGCUCCAGCCUUACCAGAGCCCUGGGCGGCGUCUGAAGACUUUUCCAUUGGCUGCUCUCUGUGGAGUUCUCUAUAAAGUCUUGGGGCCAGGAGUGUGAGGGAAGCUGACUGGUUGUCACAGCAGGAUCGUGAUGAGAUCAACAGAAAGACGCCCACAGACUCGGGGGGAAGUGGCCCUGUCUCGACAGGGUUGUAAAGUGGAUGAUCACAGUGUGCUCCUGCCUGGGGGUGCAGCAGUCCAGGUCCCUGGAUUCCGCCUGGGGAUAACAGCCUGCACAGAGCGAGAGCACAGAAGGAGCACCUGCUGGGGAAGCUUCUUCACCAUUCCUAUGGGUGUUUUUUCUCCCAUGCACCCCCUGCCCCCAGCCUAAGGCUCUGGGCACUUUGGCUUGUCUGCUCACCAGGAGCCAGGGAUGGAUACCAGACGACCCCAGCACCCUGCUGAAGAAGCAUUCACUGACCCCUUCUGGACACUGAGGCCGCAGAGGUGACCCAGCCCACAUCGCUCCCUCUGGACCACACUCGGGAAGUUUCAGUGUUUCUGAUACGUGGAAUUCUUUGCAAAAGGACCAUAUGCUGGCGAAGACCUUUAGACAUUGCCUAAUCGAACUUCUUCUUUUUUUAAUUGAUGAAGGAGGGAAGUAAGUGUGGCCCAGGCAAAUGACGUGAGUUACUUAAGGCCACAAAGCGUGUAAAGCUUGUGAAGCCCGUCUCAGAUCUGGGUCCCUGGACCGUCAGGCCCAUGCGACCACACCGGUUUGUUUUACCAGUUACGGAACAAUCCAGCACAGUCGUAUUCGCUGUCCUGGGAAGCAUCUAUAACUCACGAUUUGCAGGUCUUUCUCAUCUCUGAAAGGGAAACAAGAAGAAUAAACUUUAAAGGUUUCACAUCCUUUACCAUCUA